AUUUAUUCAUACAAAAUUCUUAAUUAUCUCGAAGAAUAUGAGGCAAAAAAAAAAAAAAAACGAGCGAUUCAUCUCGCAGUGAAGUGAACUGAGAAAGCGUUGAAAGGACACUUGGAUAGAGAAAUGAAACAUUGGGUCAGCAUUGUACGGCCUAACCUAUAAGUGAUCGUUUCUUGAACACGUUCGACCACGCGUCGAGAGCCCUCCAAUCGAAAACUUUUCUUCUCUUUUCUAUAGCGAAGUGCAAGAGUCUUGGGAAAAAAAAAAGAACUAAUUCGACAAAAAAGUGACUGAAUAAAAUCGAUCGCCGCAAUAGCAAUUCAAAAGAAUUUCGAAAGUACACAAACUCGGCCGGAAUACAGAAUGGACGUGAUCCGCAUAAGGAACUCGCAAGCAUGCGUAGGCGAAGGAAGAAAGGUCGAGAGAAGGAGGAUCAUCGAUUAAAAAAGGAAUCUCGGAUGAAAGAAAAAUUUUUUAUCGAAAAAUUAGAAAGAAAAAGGGAAGAAGAGGGAAGAUUGGGAGAAUUUUUUGUGGAAACGCCAUUAUUGAGUAUAUUUUGCGAGA